rnacentral:misc_RNA from 1 species
GAUGAAGAACGCAGCGAAAUGCGAUAAGUAAUGUGAAUUGCAGAAUUCAGUGAAUCAUCGAAUCUUUGAACGCACAUUGCGCCCGCCGGUAUUCCGACGGGCAUGCCUGUUCGAGCGUCAGUGGAAAAACUCAAGCCUCGCUUGGUGUUGGGCCUCGUCGACACCCCGACGGGCCUCGAACGUCCGGCGACCGUGGAAUCGUACCCCAGAGCGCUGUCGGAGAGAUCUUGAAGCGUUCGCUCGUGGGUCGCACCUGGCGGUCCGCCUGGGUGGGGCACUUCCCACCCGCGUGCAUCACAGUUUGACCUCGGAUCAGGUAGGGAUACCCGCUGAACUUAAGCAUAUCAAUAAGCGGAGGA